GUUGUCACUCUAAGUAAUCAAAAC
rnacentral:siRNA from 1 species